AUUGAACGCUGGCGGCAGGCCUAACACAUGCAAGUCGAACGAGUGGCGGACGGGUGAGUAAUGUCUGGGAAACUGCCUGCUGGAGGGGGAUAACUACUGGAAACGGUAGCUAAUACCGCAUACCAUCGGAUGUGCCCAGAUGGGAUUAGCUGGUAGGUGGGGUAAAGGCUCACCUAGGCGACGAUCCCUAGCUGGUCUGAGAGGUUGACCAGCCACACUGGAACUGAGACACGGUCCAGACUCCUACGGGAGGCAGCAGUGGGGAAUAUUGCACAAUGGGCGCAAGCCUGAUGCAGCCAUGCCGCGUGUGUGAAGAAGGCCUUCGGGUUGUAAAGUACUGUCAGCGGGGAGGCGUUACCCGCAGAAGAAGCACCGGCUAACGCCGUGCCAGCAGCCGCGGUAAUUC
rnacentral:rRNA from 1 species